rnacentral:rRNA from 1 species
AGCGAACGCUGGCGGCGUGCCUAACACAUGCAAGUCGAACGUGAAAAGGGAAACCUGAGUCAUGUGGCGUACGGGUGAGUAACGCGUAGGUAAUCUACCCCAGAAUCUGGAAUAACCUGCCGAAAGGCGGGCUAAUACUGGAUAGAGCGAGGGAACUCGUAAGAGAGUUUUUCGGGAAAGGGAGCCCGCAAGGGCCUUCGUUCUGGGAUGAGCCUGCGUCUCAUUAGCUAGUUGGUAAGGUAACGGCUUACCAAGGCGAUGAUGAGUAGCUGGUCUGAGAGGAUGAGCAGCCACACUGGAACUGAAACACGGUCCAGACUCCUACGGGAGGCAGCAGUGGGGAAUCUUGCGCAAUGGACGAAAGUCUGACGCAGCCACGCCGCGUGAGUGAAGAAGGCCUUCGGGUUGUAAAGCUCUGUCGGAUGGGACGAACAUCUUCAUAGUGAAUAGCUAUGAGGACUGACGGAACCAUCAAAGGAAGCACCGGCAAACUCGGG